GAUAGGCAAUUAUUCCUGCAAUGGUUUUUUGUUUAAAUGUUUUUUCGCCUAAGGAUGGGUCUGCGGCCGAUUAGGUAGUUGGUUAGGUAAUGGCUUACCAAGCCGUUGAUCGGUACGGGUUGUGAGAGCAAGAGCCCGGAGAUGGAACCUGAGACAAGGUUCCAGGCCCUACGGGGUGCAGCAGGCGCGAAACCUCCGCAAUGUGAGAAAUCGCGACGGGGGGAUCCCAAGUGCCAUUCUUAACGGGAUGGCUUUUCAUUAGUGUAAAAAGCUUUUGGAAUAAGAGCUGGGCAAGAUCGGUGCCAGCCGCCGCGGUAACACCGGCAGCUCUAGUGGUAGCAAUUUUUAUUGGGCCUAAAGCGUCCGUAGCCGGCUUAAUAAGUCUCUGGUGAAAUCCUGUAGCUUAACUGUGGGAAUUGCUGGAGAUACUAUUAGACUUGAGACCGGGAGA
rnacentral:rRNA from 1 species